rnacentral:rRNA from 2 species
AUAUGCAAUCAUAUCAACACUAAUGCAUCGGAUCUCAUCAGAAUAAGUUAAGCGUGCUUAGACGAGAGUGGUACUAGAUGGAUGACCUUCUGAAAAGUCCUUGUGUUGCAUCUC